CCUACGGGAGGCAGCAGUGGGGAAUCUUGGUCAAUGGGCGCAAGCCUGAACCAGCGACGCCGCGUGAGUGAUGAAGGCCUUCGGGUUGUAAAGCUCUGUGGGGAGAGACGAAAGAAUCGGUUCUAACAGGACCGAAGUUGACGGUAUCUCCUUAGCAAGCACCGGCUAACUCUGUGCCAGCAGCCGCGGUAAGACAGAGGGUGCAAACGUUGCUCGGAAUCACUGGGCGUAAAGGGCGUGUAGGCGGAUAGAUAAGUCGGGCGUGAAAUCCCCAGGCUCAACCUGGGAACUGCACUCGAAACUGUUUGUCUUGAGUGCCGGAGAGGAAAGCGGAAUACCUGGUGUAGAGGUGAAAUUCGUAGAUAUCAGGUGGAACACCAGUGGCGAAGGCGGCUUUCUGGACGGUAACUGACGCUGAGACGCGAAAGCGUGGGGAGCAA
rnacentral:rRNA from 1 species